rnacentral:misc_RNA from 1 species
GAAAUGCGAUAAUUAAUGUGAAUUGCAGAAUUCAGUGAAUCAUCGAGUCUUGGAACGCACAUUGCGCCCCCUGGUAUUCCGGGGGGCAUGCCUGUCCGAGCGUCAUUGCUGCCCUCAAGCACGGCUUGUGUGUUGGGCUUCCGUCCCUGGCAACGGGGACGGGCCCAAAAGGCAGUGGCGGCACCAUGUCUGGUCCUCGAGCGUAUGGGGCUUUGUCACCCGCUCCCGUAGGUCCAGCUGGCAGCUAGCCUCGCAACCAAUCUUUUUAACCAGGUUGACCUCGGAUCAGGUAGGGAUACCCGCUGAACUUAAGC